rnacentral:lncRNA from 1 species
UGGGAGGCCAAGUUGGGUGGAUCAUGAGGUCAGGAGUCCGAGACAAGCCUGACCAACAUGGUGAAACCCUGUCUUUACUAAAAAUAGAAAAAUUGGCCGGGCGCGGUGGCUCACGCCUAUAAUCCCAGCACUUUGGGAGGCCGAGGUGGGUGGAUCACGUGGUCAAUAGAUCGAAACCAUCCUGGUCAACAUGGUGAAACCCCGUCUCUACUAAAAAUACAAAAAUUAGCUGGGCAUGGUGGUGUGUGCCUGUAAUCCCAGCUACUCAGGAGGCUGAGGAAGGAGAAUUGCCUGAACCCCGAAGGCGGAGGUUGUGGUGAGCCGAGAUCGCGCCAUUGCACUCCAACCUGGGUAACAAGAGCGAAACUCUGUCUCAAAAAAAAAAAAAAAAAAAAAAUUAGCUGGAUGUUGGUGGCAGGCCCCUGUAAUCCUAGCUACUCAGAAGGAUGAAGCAGGAGAACCGCAUGAACCCGGAAAGUGGAGGUUGAGAUCGUGCCACUGCACCACUCCAGCCUGGCGAGGGAGCACGACUCCAUCUCAAAAAGAAAAAAAAUAAAAAUAAAAGAAGCUGCUAAGCUGAUAUGAAUUCUCAUGUCAGUAAACCAUUUAUAUGUGUUUAUGUUUGAGGUGGUUAGAAAAUGUAGCACAGACUCAGAGAGAAAAAUAAUUUUUUUUUUUUUUUUUUUUGAGACGGAGUUUCGCUCUUGUUACCCAGGUUGGAGUGCAAUGGCGCGAUCUCGGCUCACAGCAACAUCCACCUCCUGGGUUCAGGCAAUUCUCCUGCCUCAGCCUCUCGAGUAGCUGGGAUUACAGGCACUCGCCACCAUGCCCAGCUAAUUUUUUGUAUUUUGAGUAGAGAUGGGGUUUCACCAUGUUGACCAGGAUGGUCUCGAUCUGUUGACCUCGUGAUCCACCCGCCUCGGCCUCCCAAAGUGCUGGGAUUACAGGCUUGAGCCACCGCGCCCGGCCUCCCCAUUGUUAACCAAUGCAUGACUGUCCUCUUUACAGAUACUGCAGAUAGAACUUCCGUGUUUAAAAAAUGUAUCAUAGCAAAUUUGCUUGUCAAUCUAACGAAAUAUGAUUUUUUGCUGAGAUAUAACUUGAACAUUUAAAUUAAAUGUUUUCAAUCUUGUGAAUAAGCCUGUCUCUCUUAAGAAUGUCAGAACAAUGAACAAAAGGUAAAGUAUAUUUUUUCUAAAGGAAAAUAGAAUUGAUUUACGAAUAUUAUAUACUGCCACUUGGGGGCAGUCUUUACUCAUUUAAAGCGACUGUGAUCC